GCGGCUUUGCAUCCAAGCUGUAUUACUGUCUUCAAAACAGAAUAAGCUGGUGCUCUCUCUGCAUCGUGCUCAAGCCCAAUGUCAUGGUGCUCCAGUUCAUCAUCCCGACAUUGCUUUAUUAUCUGCAUCAGUUCUUUGUACUUUUCUGGAUCUUCUUCCAUUAGAGUUCGGAUCUGGUUGUUAUAGUGGUCUGAUAUGCUCUCUUCCACCGCCACUGUGCAAGCCAUUGCACCCUUCUUUCCAAGUAGAGAACUUCCAGCCCCUAAAAUAAAGCCUGCUACAUUCCAAAAAGGCAACAAGACAGUAGGUCGGACUCUGUAUGCAAUCAUUAACUCAUUAAACUUUCUCAGGUGGUCUUUUUCUUGAUUCCACAUUUGCUGGAUGAGCGGCCCCGCGGCCGACCUGCCCAGCACGGCCAUCUGCCCGGCAUAGAUGCGAUUGGCGCCGUACUCCCCGGCGUGGUCCACGCGGAUGAUGCGAUCUACGACGGCUUUGUUGAUGCCGUCCAGUGCCGCCCGCGUGCUGCAGGGCCUCAGGGACGCCCCCUCGGCGAGGAAAGGCCAUCUCCCGCGGCGACCUGCAGCGCCGCUCAGCGCUCGGUGCCGCCCUAACGAGCACCGCAGCGCCGGAGCCAGAGCCCCGGCCGCCGCCAUUCCAUUGACCCCG
rnacentral:lncRNA from 1 species